rnacentral:rRNA from 1 species
UACGAAGGGGGCUAGCGUUGCUCGGAAUCACUGGGCGUAAAGCGCACGUAGGCGGCUUCUCAAGUCAGGGGUGAAAUCCUGGAGCUCAACUCCAGAACUGCCUUUGAUACUGAGGGGCUCGAGUCCGGGAGAGGUGAGUGGAACUGCGAGUGUAGAGGUGAAAUUCGUAGAUAUUCGCAAGAACACCAGUGGCGAAGGCGGCUCACUGGCCCGGUACUGACGCUGAGGUGCGAAAGCGUGGGGAGCAAACGGG